UACAGAGGGUGCGAGCGUUGUCCGGAAUUACUGGGCGUAAAGGGCGCGUAGGCGGCCUGAUAAGUAGGGGGUGAAAUUCCGAGGCUCAACCUCGGAACUGCCUUCUAAACUGCCAGGCUUGAGCACGGUAGAGGCAGAUGGAAUUCCCGGUGUAGCGGUGGAAUGCGUAGAGAUCGGGAAGAACACCAGUGGCGAAGGCGGUCUGCUGGGCCGUUGCUGACGCUGAUGCGCGACAGCGUGGGGAGCAAACAGG
rnacentral:rRNA from 1 species